AUGGACACGUGUUCCACCUGACUUCACCAACUGUUAUUCUUUCUUUAAAGAAGCUUAUCGGUUCCUUAUAUAUUUUUUUCAGGGCCUAUGUUGUUGGAAUCCUUACGCUUGCUGACGUCUUUUGUGAUUAAGGGAUAAUUUUGUUCCUGGUUGCAUAUUUGAGUAUGGUUCGAAGGAACUGGAAAUCCUCUUUUUCAUUGUUGUCGGUGCUAUCAUCUCUCAGUCUGAGGCACUCACUUCCUUUCUCUUUCUCUGUUUUCUUUAUACUCAUGGCAUCUCUAAUGGCAUUCUAUUACCGUGUUUGUAGGUUUACGCUUCGAAUUGUGUGAUUUUGUAUUUUUCAUUUCCGCUUUCGCUCUUGAAGAUGAGUAGUAGAAAUUGAUUGGAUGGUGAUUACAAAUACCUCUUGUCAUAUCGAUUUGAUUCUUCUUGACUAGGGUAAAUAUGGAAAAUCCUGUGAUAUGUAUGUUUAUGCCCGCAAAGUGUUUGAGGAAAUGCCUUUUGUCUUGAGUCUUACGGUUCUCUCCGUUCAAGGCAACAGAUGACACUCAUAUUCCACUACGCUGAAGCAUGAGACUUUCCAAUUUGUUGGUCUUGCCAAGUAGAUUCAGAUAACAUUUUCUUUCCAAAUAUUCUUCUAAAAAGCAAUAACUUAUGAAAUUCUCAUUCUACAAUCCAGAAAACUGUUAAAAAGGAGCUUGAAAAUCUCCAAAAAGAUUAAUACUUUAAUUGCUUUGGCUAUUACCAGUGCUUUUUCAAGGGAAAUUAAAACAAUCAAAGGGAAUUUUCUACAAAAUACAUAAAUAUGUUAACAGCUGUGUUUUUUUUUUUUUUUUUUUUUUUUAGCUAAUUAGCAUUGAAGUGGUAGAAUGAAUUGGUUAUUAUUUACCCAUAUACCAGAUUAUGUCAUCUCUCUAUAUGUUUGGAAUGUUUGUGGGUUUGAUAUGUUUGUUGCUACUGUCACACCACAGUUGAAAAAACAUCUUUCGUUACUAAAGGGGUUGUGUUAUCUCUUAAUAAUUGUGACCAUUUUACAGUUUUGAUUUUAAAAUUCUAUUAAAAAAAUUAAAUUGCAAAAAAUGUUUUUAGUCAAACUCAUAACAUGUGCAUGUUUGACUGAUUGAGUUGUCCUACAUCUCAAAAAAUCAGGGAACAAUCGACGGUGUUGCCAUUAAGCCAACUUCAAAUUCUUGGGUCACAAUAAUCGGAGGAGAAUUUGGGAAAACAAGCACAUAAGCAGGAAAAAAGAAGGGAAGGUCAUAAUGUAAAGGGAAAAUGAUUUAGGAGGGUAACUACCUCUUAUCCGUGUUCACAUAUUGGCAACUUCUUCUUUUUUGUACAUAAUAAAGCAACUAACUUGUUUUAACUGUUUAAAUUACACUAAUAUUACCGGUUAAUACAUGUUUUAACCGGUAACUCAAAGAGAAAAUGACUUAGGAGGGUAACCACCUCUUAUCCGUGUUCACAUAUUGGCAACUUCUUAUUUUUUGUACAUAAGAAAGCAACUAACUUGUUUUAACUGUGUAACAUCCCAAAAAUCAUGAACAAAAAUUUCGCUUUUAAUUUAAUACUAAAACCAUAAUUGUCAAACCAUUAAUUUAAUACUCCGGCAUCGGGCCCCGCCUGGCAUCAGGCCCCGUCCGGCAUCGAGCCCCGCUUGGUAUACAGAUCUGUCUCUCUUAGGCCCCACCCACUAAACACAUGCAAUCAUAUAACAUGCUAACACAUAAAGAAACAUACUUUACCAUAUCCCAGUCCUAAGAAACAUAUUAUGCUAAUAAUGAGAUAUGGAACUUCGUCCGUACUCAACUAGUUCUAGCCAGGGCUUCAGCAGUGCAAGGUGAGUCUCCUCACUAUGUGAAUGGGUCUAAGGCCACAUGCGCAUGUAGUUUAUGAGUAGGAAGACCCGGGGGUUAGCCCUAGGCAUUGGAUGAUAGUAUGUUAUUCCAGACCAAGGUCCGAUGUCGGGCGGGUGCCCGAGGAAUGUUUGCAUGUUAGAUUAUACUUGUUGUUUGUGUGAUACUUGUAUGUGCCUGGUAAGGAGGUGAGUGUGGGCGAGGUCCCAUAUCUCAUCACUAGCUGAGUACAGACGAUGUUCCGUAUCUCAUUAUUAGCAGAUUAUGUUUCUUAGGACAGAGAUAUAGUAGAGUAUGUUUCUUUAUGUGUUAGCAUGUUAUAUGAUUGUAUGUGUUUAGCGGGCGGGGCCCGGAGACAAGCGGGGCCUAAGAGAGACAGACUUGUAUACUGAGCGAGACUCGAUGCCAGGCAGGGUCUGAUGCCGGCGGGGCCCGAUGUCGGAGUAUUAAGUUAAUGGUUUGACAAUUAUGGUUUUAGUAUUAAAUUAAAAACGAAAUUUUUGGUCAUGAUUUUUGGGAUGUUACACAGUUAAAAAAGUUAGUUGCUUUCUUAUAUACAAAAAAUAAGAAGUUGCCAACAUAUGAACACGGAUAAGAGGUAGUUACCCUCCUAAGUCAUUUGCCCUUUGAGUUAUCGGUUAAACAUGUAUUAGCCGGUAAUAUUGGUGUAAUUUAAACAGUUAAAACAAGUUAGUUGCUUUAUUAUGUACAAAAAAAAGUUGCCAAUAUGUGAACACGGAUUAAAGAACAUUGACUUCUUCCUCCAGCUUCCAUCGACAAGUAUUCUAUCUCAUUCCAAAGCUCCGGUGAUCGAAAAAGAGAGGGUGGUCAGAACCGACACCCUUUGCCAACAAUUAUGAUGUCACAACCCAGAGAAGGGUUCACAGAAAGGAAGACGACAAUUGUUGAAGGAGGCGGAAUCCGACGAAACAAAGAGGCGGCAUCCGACUCUAUAUACUCGAUGAACCCUAAUUAGUGAUUUCUUAUUCUCUUUAUAUUUAAAUGCUAGAUUUGGAUGUAUUCGAUUAUAAUGUAUUGCUGGAAAUCAUCGCCGCCUAACAUCAUUAUCAACCAUUGUUACUCGAUCUAUAGUUGCAGAAUUUGCAGUUAAAUACAUUAAGCAUAUCGAGAAGAAACACAAGGAACCCGAAGAAUGUUAGUUCCUUAUUCUGUUAGAAUAGGUUGAUGCUAGUUCCUUAUUUUGUUUGUUGGGUAUAUUCUUGAUAAUACAAAUUCUUAAAGAAUAUUCUUGCAGAAUAGUUUAUUUUGUAAGAAUAUUAUUUGCUGUAUUCUGAUAGAAUUGUAGUUAAUUAUUUGUAUGUUUAAUGUGCAAGUUUUACAAGUGUAUCACUACAAAUUACUUGGCAAUGAAUUUUUGGUAGAAAUGGCUUCAAGAAUGGCUUGAAGACCUGAUGGGAAAGGGUUGAAGAAUGAAUCAAAGAAUGAUCACACUCAUUUUUUAAGAAUGUUGUUAUUUUUUAAGAAUUAUACUUGAUAUUCUUUCAGAAUGUUUGUUAUUAUUCAAUGAAUCACAA